CCCUUUGGGAAGUUUAAUUUUUGGCUCAGAUGAACGCUGGCGGCAUGCUUACACAUGCAAGUCGAACGGCAGCAUGAUUUAGCUGCUAGAUUGAUGGCGAGUGGCGAACGGGUGAGUAAUACAUCGGAACGUGCCCUGUAGUGGGGAUAACUAGUCGAAAGAUUAGCUAAUACCGCAUACGACUGAGGGUGAAAGUGGGGGACCGCAAGGCCUCAUGCUAUAGGAGCGGCCGAUGUCUGAUUAGCUAGUUGGUGGGGUAAAGGCCCACCAAGGCGACGAUCAGUAGCUGGUCUGAGAGGACGAUCAGCCACACUGGGACUGAGACACGGCCCAGACUCCUACGGGAGGCAGCAGUGGGGAAUUUUGGACAAUGGGCGAAAGCCUGAUCCAGCAAUGCCGCGUGUGUGAAGAAGGCCUUCGGGUUGUAAAGCACUUUUGUCCGGAAAGAAAUGGCUCUGGUUAAUACCUGGGGUCGAUGACGGUACCGGAAGAAUAAGGACCGGCUAACUACGUGCCAGCAGCCGCGGUAAUACGUAGGGUCCAAGCGUUAAUCGGAAUUACUGGGCGUAAAGCGUGCGCAGGCGGUUGUGCAAGACCGAUGUGAAAUCCCCGAGCUUAACUUGGGAAUUGCAUUGGUGACUGCACGGCUAGAGUGUGUCAGAGGGGGGUAGAAUUCCACGUGUAGCAGUGAAAUGCGUAGAGAUGUGGAGGAAUACCGAUGGCGAAGGCAGCCCCCUGGGAUAACACUGACGCUCAUGCACGAAAGCGUGGGGAGCAAACAGGAUUAGAUACCCUGGUAGUCCACGCCCUAAACGAUGUCAACUAGUUGUUGGGGAUUCAUUUCCUUAGUAACGUAGCUAACGCGUGAAGUUGACCGCCUGGGGAGUACGGUCGCAAGAUUAAAACUCAAAGGAAUUGACGGGGACCCGCACAAGCGGUGGAUGAUGUGGAUUAAUUCGAUGCAACGCGAAAAACCUUACCUACCCUUGACAUGCCACUAACGAAGCAGAGAUGCAUUAGGUGCUCGAAAGAGAAA
rnacentral:rRNA from 1 species